GGGAGAGAUGGCUGAGUGGACUAAAGCGGCGGAUUGCUAAUCCGUUGUACGAAUUUUUGUACCGAGGGUUCGAAUCCCUCUCUUUCCGCGUUACUUA
rnacentral:tRNA from 1 species